GGGGUUGUGACUCAGUGGUAGAGUGCUUGCCUAGUAUGCAUGAGGCACUGGGUUUGAUCCCUAGUACCA
rnacentral:tRNA from 1 species